rnacentral:rRNA from 1 species
UUCGCAAUGCCCGAAAGGGUGACGAAGCGACGCCGCGUGAGUGAGGAAGGCCUUCGGGUUGUAAAGCUCUGUCAGGAGUUAAGAAAUAUAAGUGUGCUAAUACCACAUUUAUUUGACAAAGGCUCCAAAGGAAGCCACGGCUAACUCUGUGCCAGCAGCCGCGGUAAUACAGAGGUGGCAAGCGUUGUUCGGAAUUAUUGGGCGUAAAGAGCACGUAGGUGGGUUUGUAAGUCAGAUGUGAAAGCCUUCUGUUCAACGGAAGAAUUGCAUCUGAAACUGCGAGUCUUGAGUGUAGGAGGGGAGAAUGGAACUUCUGGUGGAGCGGUGAAAUGCGUAGAUAUCAGAAGGAACGCCGGCGGCGAAAGCGAUUCUCUGGCCUAUUACUGACACUCAGUGUGCGAAAGCUAGGGGAGCAAACGGGAUUAGAUACCCCGGUAGUCCUAGCUGUAAACGAUGGGCACUAAGUAGAGGGGCAUU